ensembl:lncRNA
AUGUAUUAUAGGUGGAUGCUACUCCUGUUCCGAGCCCUGCCACUGCUCUUCCCGUCCAGCACCAUGCCACCUAAGAAGCUGGGCUUAAGCAGCGAGGCUCUUUUCCAUGUCCUUACGACUUCAGAGGAUCCUGAUGGUUUCCUGCGCCAGCGACCACUGUCUUGCCCAGUCGUGCUUGUUUCUGAGGACAACUGCAUGAUCGCCAUUGGAAACAUGCCAGUGACCACCUUCAACAUUGAGAGGUUUGAUGAGGGACUGCUCUACCUCAUGGCAUAUUACUAUGCCCUGCACCUCACUUACCCAAAGUGUAUUUCCACACUUCUGUCAGUACUGCAAACACAAAUUCUCCAAGAUUCCAUUCAUGAGCAAGAUUUGACCCCUUCCUACAAAAAAGCCAUCGGCGAGUGGAAGUCCUUCAUUGAGUGAGUGAGUGAGUCUCUUUGUUUCUUUUGUGGUUGUUUCUUGACACCGCCUCACUCUCUAUCUCAUGUAAGACUUUCCAAGAAAGUCAAAGUUCUGUUUAAUGUAAGGUUUAUCACUGUUAGCCACAUUUGUUGGUGAAACUGAAAACUUUUCCUGUGGGAUAAUGUGCAAUAACAGCAGCUGCAAAGUUGUAAUAAUUGUUAUAGUA